GACGAACGCUGGCGGCGUGCUUAACACAUGCAAGUCGAACGGAAAGGCCCUGCUUUUGUGGGGCGCUCGAGUGGCGAACGGGUGAGUAACACGUGAGUAACCUGCCCUUGACUUUGGGAUAACUUCAGGAAACUGGGGCUAAUACCGGAUAGGAGCUCCUGCUGCAUGGUGGGGGUUGGAAAGUUUCGGCGGUUGGGGAUGGACUCGCGGCUUAUCAGCUUGUUGGUGGGGUAGUGGCUUACCAAGUCUGUGACGGGUAGCCGGCCUGAGAGGGUGACCGGCCACAUUGGGACUGAGAUACGGCCCAGUCUGCUACGGGAGGCAGCAGGGGGGAAUAUUGCACAAUGGGCGGAAGCCUGAUGUAGCAACGCCGGGUGCGUGAUGACGGCCUUCGGGUUGUAAACAGCUGUCGCCUGUAACGAAGCGUGAGUGACGGUAAUGGGUAAAGAAGCACCGGCUAACUACGUG
rnacentral:rRNA from 1 species